AUACGGAGGGUGCGAGCGUUAAUCGGAAUUACGGGGCGUAAAGGGUGCGUAGGCGGCUUGAUAAGUCGGAUGUGAAAGCCCCGGGCUUAACCUGGGAAUUGCAUUCGAUACUGUCAGGCUAGAGUAUGUCAGAGGUUGGCGGAAUUCCUGGUGUAGCGGUGAAAUGCGUAGAUAUCAGGAGGAACACCAGUGGCGAAGGCGGCUAACUGGGACAAUACUGACGCUGAGGCACGAAAGCGUGGGGAGCAAACAGGAUUAGAUACCCCAGUAGUCC
rnacentral:rRNA from 1 species